AACUCCAGUAUUCUGCGAAAGGUGGCGCUUGCGUCACUUGUGUUCGGUACGUCACGUUGGUUGCGUUGCGCACUGCUCUGGCUGUGCGCCGCUGUGCUGCGGGACGCAUUCAUUCGCGCCGUGCUGAUUGUCGUGUUCUGAUUUGAACUGUUGAUACUGCGGUAGGCUGCACGUUCAUAGUAUCGUUGCUGCUGCCGCUUCGCACAAACUGGAAACGCGCGGCAAUGACACGGCCGUGCAAGAAUCCUCGGAAACCGCGGAGUUGCGGUCUGAAAUCAGUCCGCAAGCUGCGUCGGCGGCUGGCGAGAGAGAAACGUCUGAGGUACAGCACAGGAGUAAAAGGGUGAGGAUGGACAGCGUUCUCUAGAUUACCACAGUGGUGCCAACUUUCACUUGCGGCUAUCCAAGAGCGUACGAUGUGAUGCGGUUCAGGUCGACCCGGAUGUUAUCAUAAACAUUAUAUGCAUUUACCAAUUUCUAAUGGCUGUGUUCCAUCUCCUCUUUUUCUAUGUUUGCUACACUGCCUCGUCCCGUUGUUUUACCCUCGCCAAGCGAAUGGGCGCUUCCGCAGUACGGUGAACUCAGCAUGGGCAUGUUCAUAGCAAUAUCACAAUGCCCGUACUAACGUACCUGAAAUUGGACCCGUACAUUCCUUUAGUCUCACCAUGUGUUCUCGUCUUCUUUAUUUUUUUUUACCUUCUCCAACGUCCCGCGGUCUCGUAAAAAGUUAUCGUAUAGAUUAUUCUCCCACAAAAGUCUUCUAACACUUUGAAUACGUUAUGCAAAAGCAGGAAAUUGACCAACUUGCGCGAGAUUUCCGACCACUGACCUGCUGCAAUCUGGUUAGCAUGGCACACGGCCAGAGGAGGACAGAUGACCGAGACAAAUAAUGGGAAAGCGCGCCCGUUCACAUUCCUUCGGUUGUUGUACCACCUGUCUAAUUGUAAAAGCAAA